rfam:Cavia porcellus supercont2_4 genomic scaffold, whole genome shotgun sequence.
GCCAGUUGAUGAUGGCCUGGGCAGAAACCCACCCUGUGGGCAGUCCAUGUCUGAACUCCCUGGC